CCACAUGUUAACCUUAUUUCCAAACAAACAGACCUUCCUCUCCUCCUACCAAAUUAAGACAUUAUUAAAAGGAAUUCAGAGGAGCAGUACUACACAGGCACCACAAAGACUGCCUAUUACAGGGAAUGUGUUUAGAUCACUAUCAGACCUAUUGGAUAACUCUCCUUUCGAACCCAAAACAAAUCAGACUUUAAAGGUAGCUAUAUAUUUAGCUUUUUGCGGGUUCCUUAGGCCCAGAGAGUUUACCGCAAUCCUUACUACCGACACUAGAUCCUGUCUUAACGUUGGGCAGCUAAUUAAACAGGGAGACCAUUUCCUCCUCUCACUGUUACAUACAAAAACUACGCAACCAGGGCAAACUGUCACAAUACCCUAUUAUCCCACCUUUAAUAAAUGGUGUCCCGUUAAGACUUUCGACACCUAUCUGUCUACUUUACAAGCACCUACAAAUCUCCUGUUACUCACCUUACAAGGCACCAUCCUCACGACUAGCAAAUUCAUGCUAUAUAUUACAAUCUUGUUGAUGAGGCUAGGCCUUAACACCUCACACUACUCAUAUGGCAUUCUUUCCGUAUUGGAGCAGCUUCAGCAGCAUCGCACCGGAACAUACCCGUUCAUCUUAUCAAGUCUCUGGGGCGCUGGAAGUCUACAGCAUACUGAAGAUACAUACCACAACCUGAGAGAGACAAACUUUCAGACAUUU